GUCAGAGUUGUUUCAACAAAUUAUCCACGAACUGGGUAUUAAACAAUACAACUCGUCAGCCUAUCAUCCAGAAAGUCAAGGUGCUCUAGAAAGGUUUCACCAAACAUUGAAGCAAAUGAUUAAGACAUAUUGUUUUGAAACUGAGAAAGAUUGGGACGAUGGAGUCCAUUUCCUUUUGUUCGCGGCUCGUGAGUCAGUUCAAGAAUCAUUAGGGUUUAGUCCAUUAGAGCUAGUUUUCGACCACACGCUUCGGGGACCGCUCAAGCUUUUAAAGGAAAAGUUGCUUGCCGACGACGGUGGUUCAUUGAAUCUUUUACAGUAUGUAACGGACUUUCGUACCAAAUUAACUAAGGCUUGUGAACUGGCCCGUAAGAACUUUAAAACAGCUCAAAAUCGCAUGAAGGACAGUUACGAUUAAAACACAGUAACUCGGAAUUUUCGGAACGGAGAUAAGGUUCUGGCACUUCUUCCGGUAACUAGAAACCCCUUGCAACCUAGGUAUUUUGGGCCAUAUGUUAUAAGAGCGUAUUGCUUUGAAGCAUUGCGCUUUGACAUUUCAUAUCUUCGGUUCGUUGAUUGCUAUGAGGACAAAAAUACCACCAUUCGAUUCAGUGUAACUAGAUCUCCUCAUUCGUAGCAAUAGUUUUAGUCAAUGGCAAAAUUAUAAAGAUUUAUGAGCUUUGAAAGUAAAGCGAGAAGGUAUGUGAUCAAAUUACGCAUUUUACCAACAAAUUAUAAAAACAUAAACAUACCUUUCGCCGAAUAUAACUUCGGCCCCUUGAGACGUAUGCUCAUUGUGAUAUUCUUGAUGAAUUAAUCAUUUAAAAUGCCAUGUAUAGCAUUAUUU